rnacentral:lncRNA from 1 species
AGGUUAAUCAAAUGUUUGGGCUUAAACUCAGCCUUAAAAUAACCACACUGAAAUCAGCACAAUGUACUUAACUAUAAGGCUGAAGCACUUUAAUACAAAUAAAAUAGGCAUACUAGUGACAGCACAUCCUUAGUCAUCAAGUCCCUGGUGAAAAGGCAGAUCACCUUAACGCGUCUGCAAGAUCCUCUCUGGAUGCCUGGGCCAGUACAGGCAGAUUCUUCAGGUAACCACAUGCCCACCAGACAGCAAAAGAAAGAUCCAGUGAGUUGGGAACCUCUCUGGAUGGGUGGAAACAUUAAAAAUAGAUAGAAAUGGAAUAGAAUGGAAAUGGAAAAAUGUUAAAGUAGAUGCGGAAAAGAUCGCAUGCUGGAAGAAGCACAGGGCACAACCAGGAAAAGGCCAUAGAAAUAUCUGCUGACACAAGGAAGAGGCAGAGCAGACAACAUUCCACCUCAUUGCACUGCUCAGCCACACUCCCUGCACUUCAGCCUCCAUGGAGCAGAAGAGGAGCAGAGGACCACUGCCCUUCCAGGCAGCCAUGUGGUGACAGCUGUGAGCUCUCACCUCAACUUCCUGGGUGGAGAUAUACACCGACCACUACCAGCCAGCCAUACUGGGGAAGUGAGUGGAAGGGUGACAGAAGGAAAGCUGAGGGCACAAUGUCAGUAAGACCUGGCAGGGUUGAAACCCUCUCUCCUUAUCAGGUGCACAGGGCAUAGAAGGGGGAAUCUGAUGGCCAGGAGCAGUUCCACGGCAGGUUCUGUGCCAGGAAGAAGCUCCCAGCAAUUGCUGCAGGCUCUCUCGCCCACUCACCUUCCAGCUGUGCAUGGAGGAGGUGAGGGUGGAGACAAGGGUGGAGCAGGUCAGAUAAGACUGUGAUCAAAGGGUUCAACCUCAGGUGAUAGGAAGACCGAGGCUGCUAGCUCAGGCUCUGUUGAUGUGUUUGGAAGUUGCCUAUGGGUAUUCAGUUAUCUCUUAAGCCCAACUCUACCUAUAUUUAAUCACAUAAAUCAAAUGAACUAAAG